ACCCUGCUAGCUCAAUUGGCAGAGCGUGAGACUCUUAUGUCGCGGUAACUCUGAGAUGUGAUCUCAAGGUUGGGGGUUCGAGACCCCCGUGGGGUG